GCGUUUGUGGUUUAGUGGUAAAAUUGAUCGUUGCCAUGACUGGUUCUCCAGUUACAGUUUCGAUCAGCCCCGGGUUCGAUUCCCGGCGGACGCA
rfam:Arthrobotrys oligospora ATCC 24927 unplaced genomic scaffold scaffold00081, whole genome shotgun sequence.